UGUGUGGAAUUUUGAAAAGCUGGAUCUACCACAUUGUCAUGAACGUAGAUGUAUGUAUUUGAAAUAACUGUUAAACAAAGUAUAGUGUACGAACCGACCUCAAGUGAGUCCACAUGUUAUCACCAUGAUUGGCCUUUAUUAAAACGACUCUCAGAAAGAUAUCACAUGACUUUGAAGGUAACGAAAUAUUUUUAAGGAUCUUCCACACUGAACGUCUAUCUGGAAACAUCCAGAGCCAAACCUGUAAAUCAACCGUGGGGUUGCAUCAACCUGUGCCUACUGAGCGCAGUAAUCAAACCUACGAAUUAACAGAAGCUACAAAACCCGUUGACUUCUGCGUCUAAGUUCUAAAUGAAUCAAAUCUAAAAAUCAAAUAAACCUACAGAAAUCAGUUACUACUGAGAGCAAGGUCUAAAUGAAUUAAACGAACCUACAACACCCGUCUACUACGGCGUGAAAGUUAUUUAAUG